GGAGGAAAAGAAACCAACAGGGAUUGCCUCAGUAACGGCGAGUGAAGCGGCAACAGCUCAAAUUUGAAAUCUGGAGCCUUCGGCUUCCGAGUUGUAAUUUGAAGAGGAUGUUUCGGUCGUGGCUUGGGCCUAAGUUCCUUGGAACAGGACGUCAUGGAGGGUGAGAAUCCCGUACAUGGCUGCAGGCUUGCGAUCAUGUGAAACUCCUUCGAAGAGUCGAGUUGUUUGGGAAUGCAGCUCAAAAUGGGUGGUAAAUUUCAUCUAAAGCUAAAUAUUGGCGGGAGACCGAUAGCGCACAAGUAGAGUGAUCGAAAGAUGAAAAGCACUUUGAAAAGAGAGUUAAACAGCACGUGAAAUUGUUGAAAGGGAAGCGCUUGCAAUCAGACUCGCUUGCGGUUGAUCAACGUUCCUUCUGGUGCGUGCACUCUGCCGUUGGCGGGCCAGCAUCGGUUGGGGCGGCGGGACAAAGGCGGCAGGAAUGUGGCUCCCCUCGGGGAGUGUUAUAGCCUGCUGUGUAAUGCCGCCAGCCCCGACCGAGGUCCGCGGUUUUCCUAGGAUGCUGGCUUAAUGGUUGUAAGCGACCCGUCUUGAAACACGGACCAAGGAGUCUAACAUCUAUGCGAGUCUUUGGGUGUCAAACCCAUGGGCGUAAUGAAAGUGAACGGAGGUGGGAGUCCUCGGAUGCACCAUCGACCGAUCCUGAUGUUCUCGGAUGGAUUUGAGUAGGAGCAUAGCUGUUGGGACCCGAAAGAUGGUGAACUAUGCCUGAAUAGGGUGAAGCCAGAGGAAACUCUGGUGGAGGCUCGCAGCGGUUCUGACGUGCAAAUCGAUCGUCAAAUUUGGGUAUAGGGGCGAAAGACUAAUCGAACCAUCUAGUAGCUGGUUCCUA
rnacentral:rRNA from 1 species